CGCGUGUAUCUACAUGAACCAGAGAAUAUCCAUAUCCAUAUAUGCCUUUAUAGGGGACUCAAACUUUCUAGCAUAGUGAAGAUGACUUAAGAACCUAUGUAUACAAUAUAGGGGACUCGAACCUCCCAUUCAUAUAGCCAAUAUAGGGGACUCAAACCUCUCAAUCAUUUAGACGCCAGCACCGGUUAACAUAGUUUCUAGUGUUAAUCAUUCAGACUUCCACUUUCACGGCCC
rnacentral:lncRNA from 1 species